rnacentral:rRNA from 1 species
UACGUAGGGGGCUAGCGUUGUCCGGAAUCAUUGGGCGUAAAGAGCGUGUAGGCGGUCCGGUAAGUCCGCUGUGAAAGUCGGGGGCUCAACCCUCGAAUGCCGGUGGAUACUGUCGGGCUAGAGUGCGGAAGAGGCGAGUGGAAUUCCUGGUGUAGCGGUGAAAUGCGUAGAGAUCAGGAAGAACACCCGUGGCGAAGGCGGUUCUCUGGGACGGUACUGACGCUGAGACGCGAAAGCGUGGGGAGCGAACAGG